rnacentral:rRNA from 1 species
UAGGGAAUCUUCCGCAAUGGGCGAAAGCUUGACGGAGCAACGCCGCGUGAGUGAUGAAGGUCUUCGGAUCGUAAAACUCUGUUAUUAGGGAAGAACAAAUGUGUAAGUAACUAUGCACGUCUUGACGGUACCUAAUCAGAAAGCCACGGCUAACUACGUGCCAGCAGCCGCGGUAAUACGUAGGUGGCAAGCGUUAUCCGGAAUUAUUGGGCGUAAAGCGCGCGUAGGCGGUUUUUUAAGUCUGAUGUGAAAGCCCACGGCUCAACCGUGGAGGGUAAUUGGAAACUGGAAAGCUUGAGUGCGGAAGAGGAGAGUGGAAUUCCAUGUGUAGCGGUGAAAUGCGCAGAGAUAUGGAGGAACACCAGUGGCGAAGGCGACUUUCUGGUCUGUAACUGACGCUGAUGUGCGAAAGCGUGGGGAUCAAACAGG